CUCCUCCUCCGUUCCUCCCAUGUGGCUGAAUGCGCACGCGCGGCAACAGCUGUGCGCGCAUUCAGCCGGUCACAUAGGAAAGCAUUAUCAAUGCUUUCCUAUGGACGCUUGCGUGCUCUCACUGUGAUUUUCACAGUGAGAAGCACGCAAGCGCCUCUAGCGGCUGUCAAUGAGACAGCCACUAGAGGAAUUGGGGGAAGGCUUAAC